AAAGACCGUCCCACGUUCGGAUUGCAGGCUGCAACCCGCCUGCAUGAAGUUGGAAUCGCUAGUAAUCGCGGAUCAGCAUGCCGCGGUGAAUACGUUCCCGGGCCUUGUACACACCGCCCGUCACACCAUGAGAGUCGGGGACACCCGAAGUCCGUAGUCUAACCGCAAGGGGACGCGGCCGAAGGUGGAUUCGAUAAUUGGGGUGAAGUCGUAACAAGGUAUC
rnacentral:rRNA from 1 species